rnacentral:rRNA from 1 species
GUGCCAGCAGCCGCGGUAAGACAGAGGCCCCAAGCGUUAGGCGGAAUCACUGGGCUUAAAGCGUGUGUAGGCGGAUCGUUAAGUGUCUUGUGAAAUCCCACGGCUCACCCGUGGAACUGCUGGGCAUACUGGCGAUCUUGGGCCAACUAGGGGCAGCCGGAACAAGCGGUGGAGCGGUGAAAUGCGUAGAUAUCGCUUGGAACGCCGAAGGUGAAAACAGGCUGCUGGGGUUGUGCCGACGCUGAGACACGAAAGCCAGGGGAGCAAACGGGAUUAGAAACCCCGGUAGUCC